rnacentral:rRNA from 1 species
GAUGAACGCUGGCGGCGUGCCUAAUACAUGCAAGUCGAGCGAACGGACGAGAAGCUUGCUUCUCUGAUGUUAGCGGCGGACGGGUGAGUAACACGUGGAUAACCUACCUAUAAGACUGGGAUAACUUCGGGAAACCGGAGCUAAUACCGGAUAAUAUUUUGAACCGCAUGGUUCAAAAGUGAAAGACGGUCUUGCUGUCACUUAUAGAUGGAUCCGCGCUGCAUUAGCUAGUUGGUAAGGUAACGGCUUACCAAGGCAACGAUGCAUAGCCGACCUGAGAGGGUGAUCGGCCACACUGGAACUGAGACACGGUCCAGACUCCUACGGGAGGCAGCAGUAGGGAAUCUUCCGCAAUGGGCGAAAGCCUGACGGAGCAACGCCGCGUGAGUGAUGAAGGUCUUCGGAUCGUAAAACUCUGUUAUUAGGGAAGAACAUAUGUGUAAGUAACUGUGCACAUCUUGACGGUACCUAAUCAGAAAGCCACGGCUAACUACGUGCCAGCAGCCGCGGUAAUACGUAGGUGGCAAGCGUUAUCCGGAAUUAUUGGGCGUAAAGCGCGCGUAGGCGGUUUUUUAAGUCUGAUGUGAAAGCCCACGGCUCAACCGUGGAGGGUCAUUGGAAACUGGAAAACUUGAGUGCAGAAGAGGAAAGUGGAAUUCCAUGUGUAGCGGUGAAAUGCGCAGAGAUAUGGAGGAACACCAGUGGCGAAAGCGACUUUCUGGUCUGUAACUGACGCUGAUGUGCGAAAGCGUGGGGAUCAAACAGGAUUAGAUACCCUGGUAGUCCACGCCGUAAACGAUGAGUGCUAAGUGUUAGGGGGUUUCCGCCCCUUAGUGCUGCAGCUAACGCAUUAAGCACUCCGCCUGGGGAGUACGACCGCAAGGUUGAAACUCAAAGGAAUUGACGGGGACCCGCACAAGCGGUGGAGCAUGUGGUUUAAUUCGAAGCAACGCGAAGAACCUUACCAAAUCUUGACAUCCUUUGACAACUCUAGAGAUAGAGCUUUCCCCUUCGGGGGACAAAGUGACAGGUGGUGCAUGGUUGUCGUCAGCUCGUGUCGUGAGAUGUUGGGUUAAGUCCCGCAACGAGCGCAACCCUUAAGCUUAGUUGCCAUCAUUAAGUUGGGCACUCUAAGUUGACUGCCGGUGACAAACCGGAGGAAGGUGGGGAUGACGUCAAAUCAUCAUGCCCCUUAUGAUUUGGGCUACACACGUGCUACAAUGGACAAUACAAAGGGCAGCGAAACCGCGAGGUCAAGCAAAUCCCAUAAAGUUGUUCUCAGUUCGGAUUGUAGUCUGCAACUCGACUACAUGAAGCUGGAAUCGCUAGUAAUCGUAGAUCAGCAUGCUACGGUGAAUACGUUCCCGGGUCU